rnacentral:misc_RNA from 1 species
AGUUCUAAUUCAUGCAUUGCCUGCUGAAAAGCCAUUAUGCUCAGCGUAGGUGGCGUAAAACGGAAUUGACCGUUAGCUUCCAAUCCCGCCCAUUGUUGAUAUAGAUCCAAACUUAAACUUCGUGCCUGCCCUUUUGCUUUUUCCAAUUCUGUUCUUUUACAUAUUGCAAACGCAAAUCCCGGCACGCCCUCUAUGCAUUUAUUUGAAGAGGAAAUCAGGAAAUCUAUUUUCAGUUUCUUAAUAUCCAUAUCUACCCCACCGAAACUGCUCAUCGCAUCAACAAUAAAAGUUGCAGAAUGUUUCUUGCAUACCGCAGCUAUCUCUUCAA